rnacentral:rRNA from 1 species
GAUGAACGCUGGCGGCGUGCCUAAUACAUGCAAGUCGAGCGAACAGACGCGGAGCUUGCUCCUCUGACGUUAGCGGCGGACGGGAGAGUCACACGUGUAUCACCUCCCUAUCUGUCUGGGAUAACUUCGGGAAACCGGAGCUAAUACCGGAUAAUAUAUUGAACCGCAUGGUUCAAUAGUGAAAUACGGUUUUGCUGUCACUUCUCGCUGGAUCCGGGCGGUAUUAGCUAGUUGGUAAGGUAACGGCGUAUCACGGCAACCAUGCGUAGACGAACUGAGGGGGGGGUCGGCGACAUGGGAACUGAGACACGGUCAAGACUCCUACGGUAGGCAGCAGUAGGGAAUCUGACGCAAUGGGCGAAAGCUUGACGGAGCAACGCCGCGUGAGUGAUGAAGGUCUUCGGAUCGUAAAACUCUGUUAUUAGGGAAGAACAAAUGUGUAAGUAACUAUGCACGUCUUGACGGUACCUAAUCAGAAAGCCACGGCUAACUACGUG